GGAGAGGUGGCAGAGUGGUCUAUCGCGCUCGCUUGGAAAGCGGGUGUAGGGAAACCUACCGGGGGUUCGAAUCCCCCCCUCUCCGCCA
rnacentral:tRNA from 2 species